UACGGAGGGUGCAAGCGUUGCUCGGAAUUAUUGGGCGUAAAGGGUAGGUAGGUGGUCUCAUUUGUCUGGGGUGAAAGCCUUGAGCUUAACUCAAGAAGUGCCCCAGAAACGGUGAGACUAGAGUCCUGGAGAGGGUCGUGGAAUUCCCGGUGUAGCGGUGAAAUGCGUAGAGAUCGGGAGGAACACCAGAGGCGAAGGCGGCGACCUGGACAGGUACUGACACUCAACUACGAAAGCGUGGGAGCA
rnacentral:rRNA from 1 species